GCUGAUGUAGUGCAGUGGUAUAGCAUAUCCCUUUCCCACAACAAAGACACCUCUCUUCACGUGGAAAUAGGGGAAGACCUGGGCUCAAACCCCGGCAUCAGCA
rfam:Exophiala oligosperma strain CBS 72588 unplaced genomic scaffold supercont1.7, whole genome shotgun sequence.